rnacentral:rRNA from 1 species
AUUGAACGCUGGCGGCAGGCCUAACACAUGCAAGUCGAACGGUAACAGGAAGCAGCUUGCUGCUUUGCUGACGAGUGGCGGACGGGUGAGUAAUGUCUGGGAAACUGCCUGAUGGAGGGGGAUAACUACUGGAAACGGUAGCUAAUACCGCAUAACGUCGCAAGACCAAAGAGGGGGACCUUAGGGCCUCUUGCCAUCGGAUGUGCCCAGAUGGGAUUAGCUAGUAGGUGGGGUAACGGCUCACCUAGGCGACGAUCCCUAGCUGGUCUGAGAGGAUGACCAGCCACACUGGAACUGAGACACGGUCCAGACUCCUACGGGGGGCAGCAGUGGGGAAUAUUGCACAAUGGGCGCAAGCCUGAUGCAGCCAUGCCGCGUGUAUGAAGAAGGCCUUCGGGUUGUAAAGUACUUUCAGCGGGGAGGAAGGGAGUAAAGUUAAUACCUUUGCUCAUUGACGUUACCCGCAGAAGAAGCACCGGCUAACUCCGUG